CUGGGAGCUUUCGCGGUAUGGGAUGGGGUCGCGUCCUAUCAGCUUGACGGCGGGGUAACGGCCCACCGUGGCUUCGACGGGUAGCCGGCCUGAGAGGGCGACCGGCCACAUUGGGACUGAGAUACGGCCCAGACUCCUACGGGAGGCAGCAGUGGGGAAUAUUGCACAAUGGGCGCAAGCCUGAUGCAGCGACGCCGCGUGAGGGAUGGAGGCCUUCGGGUUGUAAACCUCUUUUAUCGGGGAGCAAGCGAGAGUGAGUUUACCCGUUGAAUAAGCACCGGCUAACUACGUGCCAGCAGCCGCGGUAAUACGUAGGGUGCAAGCGUUAUCCGGAAUUAUUGGGCGUAAAGGGCUCGUAGGCGGUUCGUCGCGUCCGGUGUGAAAGUCCAUCGCUUAACGGUGGAUCCGCGCCGGGUACGGGCGGGCUUGAGUGCGGUAGGGGAGACUGGAAUUCCCGGUGUAACGGUGG
rnacentral:rRNA from 1 species